GGGAAUGACUCAGAAAUAUGUAUUUUUUAAAUGUACAGAUUUUCAAUUGUUUUCUAAUUAGAAUAUAUAGUCCAUUAAUAUUUAAUGUAAUUAUUAAUAUGUUAGCAUUUAUGGUUGUGUUUUCAUCAUGUAUUUUCUACCAGUAUUUUGUGUUCUUCCAUUCCUCCUUUCCUGUAGAUAGGAUAGGGAGAUCAUGAUCUUUCCACCUACAAUCAAGGUGUGCUUCCAAUAGAACCAACAGAAAAUGAAAUAGCCUGACAACUACUGGCCAUCUAAGAGGGAAGGUAUCUAUUGCUUAAUCUGCCUCUCUGCUCCACCAAAAAGAGCGGUGAAAGGAAAUGGAAUUUCCUCCUCAUAGUGGGAGAAUGCAUCACUACCUUUUUCACUUUCAACUCACCCCAAUACAUACUCUGAAUUUAGAGCCACUGGGAUAAAACUGAGGAUGGCACUGGGGUUUGGUGGAAAGGAGAAAGACUUAGACUCCAUAUGGAAUAAUUGUGUUGAAAUGAAUAGGACUGAAUGUAAAUCAAAUGAAAAUGCCUUUUAACAUUUUAUUGUGAAAAUUUCAAGUUGUACACAAAUGAUUUGAGAACAGUAUAAUUAAACCACGUCCUUAAAACUCAUCCUCUAUAAUGAUGAACAUAUGUGUUCAAAUACAUAUGGAUAAUUGUGUUUCCUCUAUAAACUGAUGGAGCUCAGGACAUGCUACCCCAAAAUAUGGCACCGUGGCAUUUAGGAAGCAGCAGACCUGGAGGGUCACUCUCAUCUUCUCUUCACCCUUCUUCCCUGAAGCAGGUCAUAAAAGAAUUCUC
rnacentral:lncRNA from 1 species